AAAGGAAUUGACGGGGGUCCGCACAAGCAGUGGAUCAUGUGGUUUAAUUCGACGAUACGCGAAAAACCUUACCAGAGUUUGACAUCAUAGGGAAUCCCGCCUAAUAGUGGGAGUGCCUUCGGGAACCUUAUGACAGGUGGUGCAUGGUUGUCGUCAGCUCGUGUCGUGAGAUGUUGGGUUAAGUCCCGCAACGAGCGCAACCCUCGUGCUAUGUUGCUACAUUUAGUUGAGCACUCAUAGCAGACUGCCCGUGGAAAACGGGAGGAAGGUGGGGAUGACGUCAAAUCAUCAUGCCCCUUACGUUCUGGGCUACACACAUGAUACAAUGGAUGGUACAAAGGGCAGCCAACUCGCGAGAGGGAGCUAAUCUCACAAAACCAUCCUCAGUUCGGAUUGCAGGCUGCAACUCGCCUGCAUGAAGUUGGAAUUGCUAGUAAACGCAGAUCAGCACGCUGCGUUGAAUACGUUCCCGGGCCUUGUACACACCGCCCGU
rnacentral:rRNA from 1 species